AAGUUUCUGUGCAAAACAAAGUCGUCGCUGCGUCCUUUUAUUUUAAAGGAGUUUGCCGCGUCUGCUGGGUAAUCGGAUUUUCUUUUCCUGAAUUUUCAAAAAAUUCUGGACUCUCUUCUCUAUAAAUCUGAUAUUGUUCAGCAAUUUUUACUUCGAGGACAUAGAUUGUGGUAACCAUAUCUCACUGUAACCAACGAACUUGGUCCGCAACGCCCACUUCCAGCAGUAAUAAGCGUCAUGUGUGUAAUUUCGGCUUAAGAUGGCCAACAAUGUAAGCGGUUUAAAUGUGAAACAUUGUUGGCCACCCAGGCAUCAGUUUAUUGGAUUUGGCCGAACUCAGCAAGUGUGAGGAAAAAUUAUAGCCGACUGCCAGCGGACUUUGCUCCACACUUAAGCCGCUUAGCCAGCGAAAAGCCAACUACAAAUUACAACUUAUUAUACAAGUUGAAUCAACCGACAUUCAGGCAAUUUGUGGCGGCUGAAAAUGAAGAUCCGUUUUAUAAGCAGGAAACGCACACAUAAAUUGGUUAAUUUGUACACGAGCUCAUAUGUUGCCGGACUUCUUUAUUCAUUUACAAACAUAUUUCUGGCAUUAUUCACGUUGCAUUAAACUAGGCGUUAAUAGUAAUGAA
rnacentral:sRNA from 1 species